rnacentral:rRNA from 1 species
AAUGGCUCAUUAAAUCAGUUAUGGUUCCUUGGAUCCUACUUAUCCUACUUGGAUAACUGUGGUAAUUCUAGAGCUAAUACAUGCAACUUGAGCCUGGCCCGGAAACGGGUGAGGCGCACUUAUUAGAUCAAAACUAAUCGGUCGGCGUCCUUUCGGGGGCGCCGGCCGUCUGUGAUGGUGACUCUGAAUAAAUCCACUGCUGAUCGCACGGCCCUCGCGCCGGCGACGUAUCUUUCGAAUGUCUGCCUUAUCAACUGUCGAUGGUAGGUUCUGCGCUUACCAUGGUUGUAACGGGUAACGGGGAAUCAGGGUUCGAUUCCGGAGAGGGAGCCUGAGAAACGGCUACCACAUCCAAGGAAGGCAGCAGGCGCGCAAAUUACCCACUCCCGGCACGGGGAGGUAGUGACGAAAAAUAACGAUACGGGACUCAUCCGAGGC